UACGUAGGGGGCAAGCGUUGUCCGGAUUUAUUGGGCGUAAAGAGCGUGUGGGCGGCCACACAGGUCUGCUGUGAAAACUCGAGGCUCAACCUCGAGCUGUCGGUGGAAACCGUGUGGCUAGAGUCCGGAAGAGGAGAGUGGAAUUCCCGGUGUAGCGGUGAAAUGCGCAGAUAUCGGGAAGAACACCCGUGGCGAAGGCGGCUCUCUGGGACGGUACUGACGCUGAGACGCGAAAGCGUGGGGAGCGAACAGG
rnacentral:rRNA from 1 species